CCAUACGGAUUUUCCUAUUUGCAAACUAAUCGUAAUCGGCCUUAGUCCCCAAGGAAGGCCCAUACCGAUUCAACCUUCACGAGAUUGACCAGCGCCGACUCCAUCAAAACCUGAGAACUUCCACUACGACGACCCAACUUCUGAAGAGAGAAGGGCAACGGCUUCGCCUUCCAUAGCUCCAAGCCGGUACGAAAGGCUUUCCGCCGCACCCGCCACUAUGGCGAAUCACCGCCCCUACUGCCACAAUAUUUGAAUCCGUCCGGCACUGGGCAUUUGUAGGUUUUCUUAUCUUUCAACCGUAAUUUGUUUCCUAUAGUGAAAUUAGGAAAUCAGGGUCUUUUUUCUUCCCAAUUCCUUUUUGUUCCUUAAGUUAGCGUUUAAUUUUUGUGUAUUUGAGAAGGAGGAAGAGAGCGAGAGAUGGAUGAUUAUCAGGAAAUGGAGAGGUUUGGUAUGGAGAAUGAUUACGAUGAUGGCCAAUGGAUUGGCGGUGAGUUUUAUUACCGUAAGCGCAAAGAGAAGAGGUCUCAAACAAAAGAAGAUGUUGUUUAUGGUGUCUUCGCAACUGGGUCGGAUUCGGACUCUGAUGGUGAUGGAUUUUCGUCUAGGAAGCGCCGCAAGGACCGGGACUUGUCUAGGAAACCUGACCUCACCAAGCCUGUCAAUUUUGUAUCCACCGGCACCGUCAUGCCCAACCAGGAGAUUGAUAGGAUUUCUAAGGAUGGAGAUACUGACAAUGUGGACGAUGACCAUCCUGGCCUUGGCUUGGGUUCUAGCACGUCUGGUUCUGGCCUGGGAUUUAAUUCGUCAACCUCUGACAGAAAUCCCAAUGGGUUUAAGGAAAAUGGUUCUAAUGUUGAUGGAGAUGAAGAUGGUGAUGAUUUAUUUUUGCCCACUGCGUUUGGGAAAAGGAUUAAGGAGGGAGCUGAAAGGAGGGAGAGGGAAAGAGUGAAAUCACAGAUAGAGAAGAAAAGUCGAAUUGUAUCCGGUAGCAGAAAAGAUUCUGACCCUGGGAAUGUUGGAGCGUUUGAGAAGCAUACUAAGGGCAUUGGUCUGAAGCUACUUGAAAAAAUGGGAUACAAAGGUGGUGGGCUUGGAAAAAACGAACAGGGGAUUGUAGCUCCCAUCGAAGCUAAAAUGAGGCCUAAGAAUAUGGGUAUGGGUUUUAAUGACUUCAAAGAGGCACCUAAGAUACCUGCUUUGCAGGAAGUUGAGGAGAAAUCAUUGCCCCAACCAACAACUAAGGCAAAGGAGAGGCUAUGGUCGAAGCAAGUUAGGUCUAAAAAGAAGAAAGAAGCAUAUUUAACAGCUGAGGAAUUACUGGCUCGCAAGCAGGACCAGGCAUUGGAGGUUGUUCAGAAGGUGUUUGAUAUGCGUGGACCUCAGGUACGGGUGUUGACUAAUUUAGAGAAUCUGAAUGCUGAAGAGAAAGCCAGAGAAAAUGACAUUCCUAUGCCAGAGCUUCAGCAUAAUGUGAGGUUGAUUGUAGACUUGGCUGAGCUGGAUAUUCAAAAAAUUGAUAGAGACUUGAGAAAUGAGAAGGAAACUGCACUGAGCUUACAGGAAGAGAAGCAAAAGUUCGAGAUUGAGCUGGCUCGUCAGAAGAAGCAGUUGAAUAGUAUGGAAGAAAUUAUGAGCAUGAUUGAGAGAAUAGGAGAAGAUAAUUCUGCUGGAACAUUGACAUUAGAUGGACUUGCCAAGUGCUUCAGUGGGUUGCGGAGAAGAUUUGGUGAAGACUACAAGCUAUGUAACUUGUCUUGCAUUGCAUGUUCAUUUGCACUACCUUUGUUUAUUAGAGUAUUUCAGGGCUGGGAUCCCCUUCAAAAUCCUUCUCAUGGGUUAGAAGUGAUAUCGUUGUGGAAGACGCUGCUUCAAGAUGAAGACUGUGUUGACAUCUGGGACAUGACAUCGCCCUAUACUCUCCUGGUUUCAGAAGUUGUACUACCCGCCGUAAGAAUUUCUGGCAUAAAUACGUGGCAGGCUAGGGACCCUGAACCAAUGCUUCGGUUCUUAGAGUCUUGGGAAAAAUUGCUGCCUCCUUCGGUGCUUCAUACCGUAUUGGACAAUGUUGUCAUGCCUAAACUGGCAAGUGCAGUAGAUUUGUGGGAACCUCAGCGAGAUCCUGUUCCUAUCCAUAUGUGGGUACAUCCAUGGCUGCCAUUGUUAGGGCAUAAGCUGGAGGGUAUGUAUCAGGUCAUACGUACGAAGUUGAGUUUUGUUCUUGGUGCUUGGCACCCAAGUGAUGCUUCUGCCUAUACUAUAUUGUCACCUUGGAAAGCUGUAUUUGAUUCUGCUAGUUGGGAGCAGCUUAUGCGUCGCUUUAUAGUGCCUAAACUGCAGCUUGUCUUGCAAGAAUUCCAAGUAAAUCCAGGAAAUCAAAAACUUGAUCAGUUUUACUGGGUUACUAGUUGGGCUUCUGCGCUACCGAUCCACCUCAUGGUUGAUAUGAUGGAGAAAUUCUUCUUCUCCAAGUGGCUGCAGGUAUUAUAUCACUGGUUAUGUUCGAAUCCAAAUUUCGAGGAGGUUACAAAGUGGUAUAUGGGCUGGAAAGAACUUUUUCCAAAGGAGCUUCUGGCUAAUGAAAGCAUCCGGUACCAGCUUAGUUGUGGACUGGAUAUGAUGAAUCAAGCCGUUGAAGGGAUGGAGGUGGUUCAGCCAGGUUUGAAAGAAAAUAUUUCUUACCUUCGGGUUCUUGAGCAACGGCAAUUUGAAGCUCAGCAGAAGGCUGCUGCGCAAGCUAAACAGCAAGGAUCGGCUGGAUUGGGUAAUGCCUCUAAUUUGGAUGGUAUGGGUGGUACACUUGAGAUGACUCUGAAAGAAGUACUUGAGGCCCAUGCCCAACAGCAUGGUUUACUCUUUAAGCCUAAACCUGGAAGGAUGCACAAUGGGCACCAGAUAUAUGGCUUUGGAAAUAUAAGCAUAAUAGUGGACGCUCUAAAUCAAAAGGUGUAUGCCCAAACUGAGGAAUCGUGGUCCCUAGUAUCACUUGAACGAUUGCUGGACAUGCACGGUAGUUCUACAACUAAGAGACGGUAGAUGUAAGCUUGACAUAACUUUCUGUAGAAGUUUCCAUGUUUUGAAGCAACUUUAAGCAGUGUUUAGAUUAUGUAGACUGCUUGUACCAUAGGAGAAACUAUAAGGGAGGCAAAGGCCAGCUAUAAACAGGGCCUUGCAGUUAAGUAACAAAAACCAUUAAAUGAUAAUUAGAAAAAGGCUCUGCCAUCUAAAAAAUGCCUUUUUCUACACUAUUCUUCAAAGAUCUACAUGCACCACACUUUCAAGAAUCGGAACAGCAAGGCAUUUGAGGAGCUGGACUUCAAAGAGUGGGGCGAAAUCCUCAAGAAAAAAGGUUUGAAGUGCAAGAAAGAAGAAAACUGGUUCAAGAUUAUCAAGAACUCCCUCCAAAAAUCCAAGAUUACUAUCAAGAACGAAGAACCUCAAGAACGGAGCUCUACUGAUGAUGAACCUCAAGAAAGGUUAGUAAAUUAUCUAGAUAGAAGGUUCUGGCCACGUUUUGAUGAUAGAAGAAGGGAGCCGACCGAAUAUAGAAUGAAAAUAGACUUGCCUAUCUAUGAUGGUAAGAGAAAUAUAGAGAUUUUUAGAUUGGCUCAAGAAUACUGAAUUUUUUUAAUUACACGAACACACCUAAGGGAAAGAAGGUGCAUUUAGUUUCUUUGAAGUUGAAAGAUGGAGCUUCAACUUGGUGGGAGCAAAUUGAAGUCAAUAGGAGGAGAAAUAGUGAAAGAUGUAUUGCUUCUUGGGAGAAAAUGAUGAAGAUGAAAGCUCGAUUUCUUCCACCCAACUGUGAACAAACUCUCUACAAUCGAUAUCAAAACUGCCGACAAGGAACUUGAACUAUAGCUGAUUACAUUGAAGAAUUUUAUCGAUUAGGGGCUAGAAUGAAUCUGAUGGAGAAUGAACAACACCUCAUUGCUUGGUUUGUUGGAGGAUUGAGAUUUGAUAUAAAAGAAAAAGUUAAACUUCAACCUUUUCUAACCCUUUCUGAUGCCAUCACUUAGCCAGAAUUUAUUGAACUAAGUUCAAGAAAGAAUACCAGAUGAAGCCCAUAGAAUACCAAUACUAGCAACAAGUCUAUGGCUGCAAACUCUUCCCUUACUAAAGAGGAGGAGAAAGACAAGACAAGUGCUCCAAAUGGGAAGAAGACUGAAGCAAUUCCCAAGAAACAAACAGAGAAUGUGUAUCAAAGGCCUAAUCUGAGUAAAUGCUUCCAUUUUGGACAAGCUGACCACUUUUCCAACUUUUUCCCUAAAAGAAAGACCAUAGCCAUUCUAGAGGAAGAUGAAGACGUCGCUGAGGAGCAAGAAGGAAAUUUUGAUCAAGAUGAAGAGAUCCUUGAGCCUGAUGAAGGGGAAACACUCUCUUGUGUACUUCAAAGAGUACUAAUUGCACCUAAAAAUAAGAACUCCCACCAGCAUAGGCAUAGUCUUUCCAUGACUCGUUGCACUAUUCAAAGUAAGGUAUGCAACAUGAUUAUUGAUAGUGGCAGCAGUGAGAAUUUCGUUUCUAAGAAGCUAGUUACUGCCCUUAAACUGAAGACAGAACCUCAUUCCAAUCCUUACGAAAUAGAAUGGAUCAAGAAAGGUGGAGAUAUACAGAUAAAAGAGAUUUGCUCGGUUCCUUUGUUAAUUGGAGGAAGUUAUAAAGACCAAAUCGUCUGUGAUGUAUUAGAUAUGUGGAUGUUUGCCAUAUCUUGCUUGGGACGCCGUGGCAGUAUGAUGUUCAAGUAGUCCCUAGAGGAAGGGAGAAUACCUAUGAAUUCUAAUGGAUGAAUAAGCAGAUUGUCCUAAUGCCUCUUAGCAAGAAAAUGAAGGAGUUAAUUCGAUGAAGUCCAUUUUCAAAUUGGAGGCCUAGUAAUGACCCAUUUGAAGAAGAGGAGUUUCCCAGCUGGAAUCUAUGGAAAGUUAAGAGACAGACAGAUUGGCCCAUUUAGAAUAACAGCUAAAUAUGAGCCAAAACGCCUACAAGCUUGAGCUGCCUGAAGGGAUCAACAUCUACCCAAUUCUCAACAUUAUAGACCUCAAAAGGUACAAUGCGCCUAAUGGAUUCCAACUUACCUAGCAAACCCAACUUGAGGACGAGUUUGAUGCUUAGGGGUGGAAUGAUGUAAAUCAACUACUGGCCUAACUUGUUUACUGUUUUACUUAUUGUUAUAAUUGUUACAACUAAGUAGUUACUAAAUAACUAACUUGUAUUACAAUUUUUUCAAUAAGUAAACAUUUCCUCUCACAUUGAGAGAUAAGAUUUCAUUCAAACAAAAUAUUAGACUUUGGUUUUACACCAUUUUAUCUCAAAUUUGAACGAUGGGACAAGCUGAAGCACAACAGGCCAAUAGUCACGAAAGGAUUUGGAGGAUGGUUGAAAAUAAAAAAUCUCCCUUUGGAUUAUAGGUGCAGGAGAACUUUCGAGAUUAUUUGAGACCAUUUUGGGGGACUUGAGCACAUAGCCUUAAAAACACUCAAUCUUACAAAUUGUACUGAAGGAAGAAUUAAAGUCAAGAAGAAACUAUGUGGUUUCAUGCCCUAACGAUAGAAUCAAAGACUUUAAGAGAGGAAACAUUUUCUUAAAUUUUGGUGAUAUUGAACUGUUGAAUCCGUCAAGUAAAAUUAGAAAGGCACUUGUGGUUGAAGACUUUGAAAACUCCAUUGAUCUCUCGAGAUUCAGGACUGUUUUAGACGAUGAAGAGGUAUAUCUUUCCUGUUUUCCCCCGGUGCUGAAUUUCCCAAAAUCCACCUUGGCAAGAAAUCCUUUGAAGCUCUGCAAAAAAAUCACAUUAUACAUCACAAUCGAAAAUAAAACCAUUUGAACAAAAGAACCCAAACAACCAAAGCUAACCCAACCUUCCCAACUUUCCCAUCAUCUCCGAUCCCACCCUUCCUAACUUACUAUGUAAUUAUAGAUUUCCCAAGUUAGGAUUUUAGGGGAAUGCAUUCCCAACUUUCCCAUCCCAAUCCAACCCAACCUUCCCAACUUUCCCAUCAUCUUCGAUCCCACCCUUCCUAACUUACUGAUUCUAUGCUCAAUAAACUUGUAUAUUAUGUAAUUAUAGAUUUCCCAAGUUAGGAUUUUAGAGGAAUGCAUUCCAAACCUUCCCAACCCAAUCCAACCCAACCACCUAUUAUCUGACCAAACCUAACCCAACCUUCCCAACUUUUCUGUCAUUUCCGAACCCACCCUUCCUAACUUACUGAUUCUAUGCUCAAUAAACUUAUGAUUCAUUUGUUUCAUGAACACUCAUCGGCGCCAGAGAAGAGGGAAGAGACGUUCAGGCAGGCCAAUUAAUGGGCUUUGUUAAACCCGCUAAAGACAUUUGUUCGAAUAAGUCUGUGGGCCCCACAAAUUUUGAUUCCUUUUUUAAAAAUCAGGUACCCAAAGGGUCGGAGAGGGAAAAAGAAAACAGAAUGGCGCCUUCAAUUACUGUGGUUCUGAAAAUGCUGCCACCAACCCACCCUAUUCAGAUUUUAAACAGCCUCUCUAUCAAAAAGUUUCAGUUAGCCGGUGCCGCUCAGUCCUCAACAAAGGUUGUUACCUCAUUCAAGCUUAGACUAAGUAAAGGAAAGAAAAAAGGCAGUUCUCCGAAAAUUCCCCUAAAGCAUUUCAUCAGAAAACAAAAAUCUUUUGAUAAUGUCUGGACUGCACUGCUAAAGUCUAAAUCACUUGUUGCUUGCUCUUUCAAAGCUACAAAAGAGGCUCCACAGCAGAACUUAAUUAUCAAGCCCUCUCUAUCUGAGAAUAACCCAAAUCUCCUGGAGGCCUGCAGCUCCAAAGUUCGAAUUGAUACGCUUCAAAACAGGUCAGUUACAGCUCCCCCAGCUCCUAAACUCUUCAGUUACUCGAGUUUCACAGAUCCUAACACUAAAAUUAUCUUAUUACGAGGUUCUCCAUGCCACUCAGUUGAUUCUGUUAUGAAAAAGUCAAAUACUGAAUUGGUCUCUCCCUAUAGUGGUAGCAGUGAAGAAUCAGCGGGCUUGAAAUACACUUAGGAGGGUAAAACAAAUGCUGAAGUAGAAGGAGUGGAUUUGAAUACCCUAUUCGAAGUUGAUGAUCGAUGCUGAUAUUGGUGAAGUUCCUUGGUCCUUCCCUAUUAAAUUAUCCGAAGUUACAAAGGAGUUGGUGCCCAUUAUAAAUGAUUGCUGUAUUGUGUUGGUUUGAGUAAGCUGUUGUGUUGAUGUUUUUAAAGAUACCUAACCAAUUCCAUGGAAUACAAGGGGCUGAAAGAUCCUACCAAGCGCAUAGCACUUAAGAAAUCCAUCAAGAACCAUCAUCCGGAUGUGGUUAUAAUUCAAGAAUCAAAAAUGGAAAACUUUGAUGCAUUAUUUACUAAAUCAAUAUGGAGUUCCAAAGAAAUCGGAUGGGAGUUUGUGGAAUCAAUUAGUGCAUCGGGGGCAUUCUCAAAAUGUGGGAUGAGCAAAAUUACUGUGGUUGAGAUUACCAAAGGGAGGUUUUCUGCCCAAUUAACGGUGAUACGGUAUGCAAAAGACGCUGGUGGAUUCGCAAUGUAUACGGCCCAUGUGGUUACUUGUUUGGUCAGAGCUCUUAUCCAUUUUAGAUGCGGUAUUGCGGAGAUUUCAACGUUACUCACUGGGCUCAUUGGCAGAAACACAAGAGGAAUGAGGCUAUUUAAUAACUUCAUUGAUUCAGCUAAUAUCAUGGAACUUCCUCUUCAAAAUGGCAGAUACACAUGGUCAAGACCUUGAGGGUCAGCCUCAAGGUCCUUGCUGGAUAGUGUUAUUUAUUAAUAGAUAAUGGGAAGAAGCGUUUGAGAACUCCAGAGUGUCUGCUGCACAAAGCUAUUUAUAAAGCUCUUUGGAAGACCAGCAGCCCAAGGAGAGUCAACAUAUUAAUUUGGAUUAUGGCCUUUGGCCUCCUAAACUGCUCCUUGAUCAUGCAAAGGAAAAUCCCCGAUCAGUGCUUGUUGCCUUCGAUGUGCCCUCUUUGCUUAACGGACAGUGAGGACUUGUUGUUGUGGGAUGCUUUGGUGCCAAAGAAACCGAGUCUAAUUUGGGCAAACAUGUCAAAAGCUCUUCUUCCAGAAAUCUGGUUUGAAUGCAAUCAGCGCAUUUUUCUCGACAAGGAAAGGGGCUGGUUUGACACUUUGGACACGGCAAAGAGGAAUGCUGCAGCCUGAUGUUCUUUAAAUGUGGAAUUAAAGGAUUAUUCAAUUCAGGAUAUAUGUUUAAACUGGGCGACUUUCAUCCAUCAGCCACUUUAAUGGGGGUGGGGGGUGAUUUUAUGCACUCCUCAGAAGCUUACUUUGCAUCUUUCGGCUUUUGCUUUUAUUAGAGGAAAUACUUCUCAGUUUUGUUAGCUAUAUAGGAGAUUAUAUGUUUUAGGGGCCUUGGGGGUUUUAUCUCUCCUGUGUUCUUUUUCUUUUCCUAUUGGUUUCUGCUUUUGUUUGUUCCCAGAGUAGCUAGCUUGUUUUUAGUUGUUCUAUUGAAUUUUUUAUUUUAGGGGUAUGAUGAUGGUGCUAAGGAGGUGUCAAACCUAGUUGAGAUGUUCAGGUGCGCCUCUUGGUCCUCUCCCUCUCCUUUCAUUUUAGGCUUCUCUAUUAUUCUCAUUGUAUAAUUCUCUUGUACCUUGAGUUUUUAUAUUUAUAAAGAAGCUUGUCUCAUUUUCAAGAAAAACCAACAAUUAGAAGGUGAAUAUGAUUCGUCAACUGGGGCAGUUGCCGAUGGCUAGAGAAUUUAUAGGGAUGAUGGAGCAUUUUUCUGGGUGGGGAAAAAUAGCGUUAAGCUGAGUACUGUUGAAGUAGAGAAACAAAACACUCAAAUGUCGAUGGUCGCAAGGAGGUGCAAGGUCUGGUUCAUCAAGGAUGAGAGACUGAUGAAAUAUAGUUUUGACUUGUGUUAAUGAUGGGUCUUGUCCCUUGUAUGGUGUUACGAUGCAGGAGAAAAAACAUUUGAAAAGUAGAGAGAAAAACAGGGAGUGUUUAAAAUUCCUAGCGCAGUUGUCAAUAUGCUGGUAGAUCCGUGAGAAAUAUUAUCUGGGAACUUGCAGAGGAAAAUAAGAAAGGAGAAGAGAAGAAAAAUUAAAUAAAUGCACUUGUUCAAAUUUAUUAUUGAUUGGUGAGGGAAGAUGUUGAAUUUGCUUCUUUUUUUUUUCUUUUUCCUUUUCAUUUUUCUCAAAUGUAAAAUUUAAGCUUUUAUUAAGGUGAAUGAGAAUAUAAGAGUUCCUAUUGUUUGUUACUAAAAAGGUAGGUUAUUGUGAUUGAUGUUUGA